CCCGUUCAGAGCUAUAGCCAUGGUUUUUCACUUUUCCCUGUGUCUGCAUUAUUGAAUGCACGCGUCUUCUUUUUUUUCUAGAUAACUGGAGAGAGAAACUUGAUAAGACACAGAGAAAUAACCUUUGUAAGAGAUAGAUAGAGAGAGAGAGAGGUAGCUGACUUUUGAGUGCCCCAGGAGUAAAUGCGCCCGCUGUCUUCUUUGACUCCUUUCUCUCUUUCUCUGUGCUUGCGAGAAACAAGAGCAAUGAUUCCUGCGCCUCUCUCUCUCUCUCUUCAAUCUUAACUCCCUGACUCGUUCUCUUACCUUCAGUUUUGCUUACCGAAAGAGCCAAAGGAGAUUCUGAUUGAGGAAUUGAACAGAAAUGGGGAGACCACCAUGCUGUGACAAAAUAGGAGUGAAGAAAGGGCCAUGGACUCCUGAAGAAGACAUAAUCCUGGUCUCCUAUGUCCAAGAACAUGGCCCUGGCAACUGGAGAUCUGUUCCCACUAACACAGGACUGUCAAGAUGCAGCAAGAGCUGCAGGCUCAGAUGGACUAAUUACCUAAGGCCAGGAAUCAAGCGUGGCAGUUUCACUGACCAGGAGGAGAA